AACGAACGCUGGCGGCGUACUUAACACAUGCAAGUCGUACGAGAAAGGGGACUUCGGUCCCUGAGUACAGUGGCGAACGGGUGCGUAACACGUAAGUAAUCUACCCCGAACACUGGGAUAACCCUCCGAAAGGAGGACUAACACUGGAUAGGGUCCCCGAGGUAUAAGCUGCGGGGGAAAAACGGGACCUCUGUUUCAUGCUCGUGGUUUGGGAUGAGCUUGCGGCCCAUUAGCUAGUUGGUAGGGUAAUGGCCACCAAGGCAACGAUGGGUAGCUGGUCUGAGAGGAUGAUCAGCCACACUGGCACUGAGACACGGGCCAGACUCCUACGGGGAGGCAGCAGUGGGGUAAGUUUUNCGCAAUGGGGCGAAAGCCUGACGCAGUAACGCCGCGUGGAGGA
rnacentral:rRNA from 1 species